UAAUAAAUGGGACAGGCAUAUGCGAGGACGACUCAUUUGACAGGUGGAGGUCCUUCCCGUUUCCCAAAAUGGAGACUGUGUGAUGAAACUGAGGACUGUUGCAGGACAGAGGAGACUGUGGACUAAUUCUGCAGCGAGACUGAGGGCAGCAACAAAACGGAGCGCUGCAGCAAGGCGGAGAUUCUGAAACAAGAAGAAGAUGAGACAACAAUAGCGUGCGCGUUUCUUUUUGUGAUUUCUAGUCGCAAAUGUUACAAUGACAAAUCUCAAUGUUACAAUCUCAGAUCGCUGCACCAAAGUGGAGUAUAAAAGAGCAGGAAGCAGGUCCAAUUUGAAAUGAGAGGAGACAGAGCUGCAAGAAAACAGAUCUCGGCAGCAAAUUGGAGACUACGGAAAGUUUCUUUAAAAAAUGUAAUCGAGAGGUUACUGAGAGCACCAAGAAAACGGACUGCUACAGCCAAUUGGAACCUGUGGAGCACAGGCCUUAUAGCUAUCAUUUAUUUUUGAACCCAAUCGAUGGGUCAAGUCAUUCGUAGAUGUAAACAAAAACAAAAAAAGUAAAAAUACGAAAUGGGUAAAAUAGUUACUUUAAUAAUCAAAUGUGUACGAUUUUCAAGUUUUUUUUAUUUUUCGUAAGUCAGUUAUAAUUAAUUAGACAUUAAAUUUAAGAAAAUGUGCAUUUUUAUUUUACAAUGAAAAAAAUGGUUUAUUCACUAUAAAUCAAAUAACCAGUUACAUAUUUUAAACAAAUAAAAAUGGAUGAAUACAUUUUAAUGAACCAAUUGUAGGAAGAAACCGCAAAAUGAAUGAAACAAAUACUAAAUAAUGUAGCGCGCUGUAUGUGGCCAUACUUUGCCUACCGUUGUCUUGUACUGUGAUUCCCACAGAGGGAAACACAGUAUGUGUGUGUUAUUCCUGAAAGCAGCAGAGUACGAUAACAAGAAUUAUAAACAUAUUUAUGAACGCCUUCUCUGCAACCUUUUUUAUUUUGUUGCAAAGGGGCUACAACCUGAUUUGUGCCAUGUAGUUGAAAGGGCCAGGGGGCUUCAUGUGAGCUCGCUAGUCAGGGACCCAAAUUAUUCCCACAGCCUGUUUUUACUGCUGAUUGGCGUUAUGCUUCAUAAUGAACCGUUCCCCACAGUCAGGUCUCUGAGGUUGUGCCGGUUUAUUUAUUUGUGCUCGGAAACUGGACGGAGGAUCAAGGAAAUGAGCAGUUAGGAGACCAUUUGUACAUCCGGCCGUACCAAUCUGAAUCUGCAUCCAAUCAGUUUAUUUAUCCUCCCCUUUGCAGGCCUGUGUGUGUGUGUGUGUGUGUGUGUGUGUGUGUGUCAGUCAGGGUUCCAGUUCUACGUAUUGUUUCCAGUAGAAAGGACAAGGUCCUUGACUAAUCAUUACAAAUUGGGGAUCAAAGCCCAGAGCGAUGUCCAACACAAAUAGGAUGAUAGCGUCAGAUCACAGGGAAAUGCCGGAAAGUCAGACGUCAUAAACCGCAUCACUUGUUGGUCAAUCACAGGUACUCGUUAAUGUCGGCAAACGUAUUUUGUCGUCCUCAAAGUGAACCGCGAGAUUUGGCUGAUUAUUUGUAGGAUGCUGAGUUAUUCUGGAUUGUCGGGAAUAUUAUUGCUCACCAUUCCCAAUUUUCACCUCAGUCCUUUGCUUUGAUUUUGAUUUAAAUCUGAACACACAUCCUUCUAUUUUGUGCGAUCCCUAUUAAGGCAUUGGCUUGGUGAAUUACAAUUUGGUGUAGAUGGCUGAAGAGCGUAAAGGCCCUUUCAGACUUAACUUGGCACACAACGCAGUGCACCAUUGACCAACAGCAUUCCGUGUGUACAGUACGUGCUGCCGCCGAGUUGCCCUGCCACAGCGGCAGGUCCGUCCGAAAUUAGGGUGCAACGCAAUGACGUCACAGCGACAUCUCUGCAAAUCCAGUAUGAGAGAUGGUGGCCGCCCGGAACCAUUUGCUCACUGUCCAUGUUUACCGCGCGGAUAUUUGUUGCAGUUUGAUGCAAUGUUAGACCAGUGAAAAACUUUGCCAAAACCGACAGCGGAGCGUCUGUAAGUGAUUCUUAAGGCACUAUUAGAUGUGUGAUGUACAUGUAACAUGAUGUAUGAGUGAGCAGAAUAUUAGUUAGCAUUUUUAUUUAUUAUUUUUACAUAUAAUGGUAAUCGCGAGCACGCUAAUGCUGAUCGCGAAUGCUAACCGUUUAGCAAAGGCAGAUUUUGUUGUCUCAAAUUCUGUACAAUGUUUAUACCAUACAGUCAGUACCAACAUAUGCAGUUUAAGGAUAGAAGUCCAGCCCAAAGAAAUAAAAUGCAUUUUAGUAAUAAAAAAAUAUAUAUAUAUAUUUGCGGGGGGG